UACGUAGGGUGCAAGCGUUGUCCGGAAUUAUUGGGCGUAAAGGGCUCGUAGGCGGUUUGUCACGUCGGGAGUGAAAACUCGGGGCUUAACCCCCGAGCCUGCUUCCGAUACGGGCAGACUAGAGGUAUGCAGGGGAGAACGGAAUUCCUGGUGUAGCGGUGAAAUGCGCAGAUAUCAGGAGGAACACCGGUGGCGAAGGCGGUUCUCUGGGCAUUACCUGACGCUGAGGAGCGAAAGUGUGGGGAGCGAACAGG
rnacentral:rRNA from 1 species